CCCUUAGAUGUUCUGGGAUGCACGCGCGUUACACUGAUUCGUUCAACGAGUUUAUGACCUUGCCUGAUGAGGUGGGGGAAUCUUUUCAAAUCGCAUCGUGAUGGGGAUAGAGUAUUGUAACUGUUAGUCUUCAACGAGGAAUUCCUAGUAAGUGCGUGUCAUCAGCUCGUACUGAUUAUGUCCCUGCCCUUUGUACACACCGCCCGUCGCUCCUACCGAUUGAGUGCUCAGGUGAAUAGUAUGGACUGCAUCAGUGUUCGGUCUCCGAAUGUUGACGCGAGAAAUUCUGUGAAUCUUAUUGCUUAGAGGAAGGAGAAGUCGUAACA
rnacentral:rRNA from 1 species